rnacentral:rRNA from 1 species
AGAGUUUGAUCAUGGCUCAGAACGAACGCUGGCGGCGUGUUUAAGACAUGCAAGUCGCACGGGGCGGACGGAGUAGCAAUAUUUCGACCGUUCAGUGGCGCACGGGUGAGUAACACGUGAACAACAUGCCCUUCAGUGGGGGAUAGCCCAGGGAAACUUGGAUUAAUACCCCAUGGUCUCGCGAGAGUAAAGGCGGCCGCAAGGCUGCCGCUGGAGGAUUGGUUCGCGCCCUAUCAGCUAGUUGGCGGGGUAACGGCCCACCAAGGCGACGACGGGUACCUGGUCUGAGAGGACGAUCAGGCACACUGGAACUGAGACACGGUCCAGACACCUACGGGUGGCAGCAGUCGAGAAUAAUUCACAAUGGGGGCAACCCUGAUGGUGCAACGCCGCGUGGAGGAUGACGGUCUUCGGAUUGUAAACUCCUGUCAUCCGGGAGCAAGACCUGACGGUGAAGAUCCGGCAGGGUUGAUAGUACCGGAAGAGGAAGGGACGGCUAACUUCGUGCCAGCAGCCGCGGUAAUACGAAGGUCCCGAGCGUUGUUCGGAAUCACUGGGCGUAAAGGGAGCGUAGGCGGCGUGGCAAGUCAGACGUGAAAGCCCGGGGCUCAACCCCGGAACUGCGUCCGAUACUGCCGUGCUUUGAGGGUUGGAGAGGUAGCUGGAAUUCUUGGUGUAGCAGUG